ensembl:ncRNA C34B2.13 ncRNA
AAAUGCAUUUACACCUACUUCGCCGUGCAAAGUUAUAUGCAAAGGAGGAUUUCCAGGCAGGCGUCAGGCAGGCAGUCAUGUGCCAAAGCCUGAAACCGCCUGCCUCCCGUAAAAGCCCAAGGGUAUAGUGAU